rnacentral:lncRNA from 1 species
UAAUGAAGGAACUGACAGGCUGUAGGAAUUACUGAGCUAUUAGAUCAUCUCAGAGAAAGUGUGAUACUCAAUUGGGAGGAGUGAGUAUUUUGACUGUUCCUUUGCUCAGCAUUCUUGAACAGAACACUCUCUACUUCCCAUACCAGAUGGAGGUGUGGCAGCAUAUUGAAGUCAUUGGCAAAGAAGGAAGAGGAAUAUUGUAAAUCAUUCCAAAGUGGAGACACCUUGAGGGAAUCCCUGGGGAAUUAGCCAAGAAUGUGUUGUAGAAGGAAAGGGAACCAUAAUAUUUAUCAGUUGUUCUUAGUCAGAAGAUGAAAAGAAAUGCAGAUAUAUAAAGAUGAAAAGAAAUGUCGGAAAGCCUGAUUUAUAUUAUGAGCAAAACAAAUGUCAUUGUGUCUUUCUAAUAAUUAUGAACCCUAGACAAAAAGUGGAUACGUUUUAAAAUCCCCAUGUUGAAACUGGAAUUACUAUUGCAAUAUACCUCAGUAAUGCAAAGACUGAUUUAAUUUCUCUCACAAAAGAUAAAACAAUUUAUCGAUGGCAUUGACCGGGGAAGUGGCUUGCUAGGUAUACUGUGAUGAAGAAAAUAUUCUUGCCUUAUUUUAUUUUUGAAUUGAUUUCUAAUUUAAAGAAUAGUAUUUUUUUUAUCAUUUGCCAAUAAGGCAGCCUUAAACUAUUGUCUACAUUGUAUCAUGAGAGAUGAUAAUAUACACUGGGGUUCAGUAUCAGUUAAUGUGGCCAUAAGUACCUUGAGAAAAUAAUUAACAUUAAAGUAGGAGAAAAGAAACUGGUAAGGGUAAUUGCCAAAACCCUCAUUAGCAAGAACACUAAAUAUUCAAUAUAAUGAAGGAAUAAUAAAGUAAAGAUAACACCGGUUCUUAUGGAAUGUUAUAUAUUUAAUUCCAGGAUGGGAGGACCAUUUUGACUGGCAACAUUACAAAAUCCUGUUUCCCACUCUUUCCCUUAGCAACUGGGAAUUUUCAUCAAGUCCCCGCAGAAGAUUGUGCUUCGGUUCAAUUAUGACAUAGAUCAUUUGGAAGUGUAGCUUAUUUUUAAUUUUGAUGAUUUUACUUACUCAAUAAGCACACUACAUAAGAAUAAUCCUAAUUAUUCUGUUUUUGAGGACACUAUUUUCAUUUAUUAACCACCUAUGCAAUGAAGAAUUGAAGAUCUAUCUAUACUAGGGUGACCAACUGUCCCAAUUCACCUAGGACUGAGAGGGCUCCCACGACAUGUGACUUUCAGUGCUAAAACUGGAAAAGACCUGGGAAAACUAACAAAUUGUUCAGCCUAAUCUAUAGCCAUGGGUCAGAAUAGCAAGGUAACAAUUAGGAUAAACAACUCUAUAAGGUAAAUGUAGCAGACAAAUCAGCUACUUCAAUGGGAAAAAAGUUUGAUUUAUGACCAAAUUGUCAAAGAAAGUCUGGUAAGAACUAAGGAACAAUGGAAAAUUAAUCUCUUGUGCCUAGAGAAUUGGGAACUUGGACUAAAUGCUAUUAUUGGCAAGAGUUUUACUUCAUUCUUCACAGUGUGAUUCUCAUCCAGCUCUUUCAAAAGGGUAACGAUAUUUAAUACAAUAACUGGAAGUAAAGUGGGUCAUAAUUAUGAUCAUAAUGAGGAUACAUCUUCUAAUGCUCCUCUUGAAUGUGUUUAAUACAUCCAUAAGUUAUUUGAAAGAGAGAUAAAUUCUGUCCUCUACAUCUCAUGGUACUCUGUGCAGUGUUGUGCAAACUCUUCAUCAGUUAAUCAUCAUUAAGUCCCCUUUUGUUGAAGACUUAUUUUAUGUCAGUCACUGUGCUAAGCACUUCAACUGUAUUACAUCAUUUAAUUCUCAUGACACUCUUUUGGGGGAUGUGGUGUGCCCCGAAACCAGCUUGCCUCCACUUAAGAGAACUGAUUGGAUACGUCUCUUCCCAUCUCCUUUUUCAGAGAUUCCAUGUUUUUAGCUUGAAAUGGGUCAUGGUCCAAGCAGUUACACUAUAGAAAUUGGAAAAAUACUGAAAAAUAGGGGACUGUUUGUUUGUUUUGAUUAGCUGCAUUAUUAGCACUACUGGAGAUACGUAUCAUUACCUCCAUUUUCAGAUGAGCUAUAUGAGUUCAAAAAAGCUAAGGAACGGCCCAAAUGCACUCAUCUAAUAAAUAAUACAGCUGUCUGCAUGAUUCUAAUGCAUACAUGUUUUAUAACCAGGGUACUUUGCCUUUCUCAUGAAAGUACUAAAAUUUAUUUUUUUCUGCAAUGUUGUAAAAUUGCUGUCUGUACUAUAUGACAGAGAAAUCACAUCACCAUUUAUGUCCCUCUGUACUUUUGGACAAUUUUAAAUUAGUUUCUCUGACUUCAC